rnacentral:rRNA from 1 species
UACGAAGGGUGCAAGCGUUAAUCGGAAUUACUGGGCGUAAAGCGUGCGCAGGCGGUUAUGCAAGACAGAGGUGAAAUCCCCGGGCUCAACCUGGGAACUGCCUUUGUGACUGCAUAGCUAGAGUACGGUAGAGGGGGAUGGAAUUCCGCGUGUAGCAGUGAAAUGCGUAGAUAUGCGGAGGAACACCGAUGGCGAAGGCAAUCCCCUGGACCUGUACUGACGCUCAUGCACGAAAGCGUGGGGAGCAAACAGG